AACGAACGCUGGCGGCAGGCUUAACACAUGCAAGUCGAACGAGAUCUUCGGAUCUAGUGGCAGACGGGUGAGGAACACGUGGGAACAUCCCUUUCAGUUCGGAAUAACGUUGGGAAACUAACGCUAAUACCGGAUACGUCCUUCGGGAGAAAGAUUUAUCGCUGAAAGAUUGGCCCGCGUCUGAUUAGCUAGUUGGUGAGGUAACGGCUCACCAAGGCUACGAUCAGUAGCUGAUCUGAGAGGAUGAUCAGCCACAUUGGGACUGAGACACGGCCCAAACUCCUACGGGAGGCAGCAGUGGGGAAUAUUGGACAAUGGGCGCAAGCCUGAUCCAGCCAUGCCGCGUGAGUGAUGAAGGCCUUAGGGUUGUAAAGCUCUUUCACCGGGGAAGAUAAUGACGGUACCCGGAGAAGAAGCCCCGGCUAACUUCGUGCCAGCAGCCGCGGUAA
rnacentral:rRNA from 1 species